rnacentral:rRNA from 1 species
AUGGUUUGUAAUUUUGACCCCCCACACAAGUCUCAUCUCCUCGUGACCAGGAUUUACAAUCAUGGAAUAUUCAUAGAGGGAGUUCGCAAAACUCAAGUUUCCCACAUUUUGGAUGUAAUCUAUUGUGAAGGGAAAUGUUUAGUUGAAGAUAUUAAGACCGCAUGUCCAAAGAUCUCCAACAAACCAAUGUUUAUUAUAAAUCUUGGAAACUUUUGUCCAUUCUAUCUACUUCAAAGGAUUACUGAUGCCGAGAAUGUGCACCUCAUUUUCAAGAUCGGAUGGUACCCUCCUUUAGAGUCAUCUGUUUUCAUGUUGUGUCUGCUUAAAAGUUGGAGAAAGUGUCAUACUACUUCAACAUAA